rnacentral:rRNA from 1 species
ACCAGACUCCUACGGGAGGCAGCAGUGGGGGAUAUUGGACAAUGGGGGGAACCCUGAUCCAGCGAUGCCGCGUGAGGGAAGAAGGUUUUCGGAUUGUAAACCUCUGUGGACAGGGACGAUAAUGACGGUACCUGUCAAGAAAGCCACGGCUAACUACGUGCCAGCAGCCGCGGUAAUACGUAGGUGGCGAGCGUUGUCCGGAUUUACUGGGUGUAAAGGGCGUGCAGCCGGAGAGACAAGUCAGAUGUGAAAUCCACGGGCUCAACCCGUGAACUGCAUUUGAAACUGUUUCCCUUGAGUGUCGGAGAGGUAAUCGGAAUUCCUUGUGUAGCGGUGAAAUGCGUAGAUAUAAGGAAGAACACCAGUGGCGAAGGCGGAUUACUGGACGAUAACUGACGGUGAGGCGCGAAAGCGUGGGGAGCAAACAGGAUUAGAUACCUCAGUA